AAAUUAAAACAUUUGCACAGUUGUUUUAUGUUGCUCAUCAAUUAUGCCAGUGUCCACUAAGCAAUCAGAGUAUAUAUUUUGAAGAAGGAGGAAGAGGAAGAAAAGGAGAAAGAGGAGGAAGAGGAGAAAGAGGAGGAGGAGCAGGAGGAAGAGGAGGAGGAGCAGGAAGAGGAGGGGGAGGAGGAAGAGGAGGAGAAGAAGAAGAAAAAGAAGAAGAAGAAGAAGAAGAAGAAGAAAUGAAAUAUGGCAGGCUUUAGAGGGAGGAAAGGGAAGGGGAAAAUGAUGUAUCUAUAUUAUAAUCUCAAAAAUAAAAGAAAUAAUUUUAAGCCCUGUUAAACAAACAAACAAAAAA
ensembl:antisense Gm15716 predicted gene 15716